UAAAGCAAGAAAGGGCGUAUGGGGAAUGCCUAGGCACACUCCGGCGAAGAAGGACGCAGCAAACAGCGAAAUGCGACGGUGAGCGGUAAGCACGUGAAGAGCCGUCGAUAUCCGAAUGGGGGAACCCACACGGAGUCAUAUCCGUGUAUCACAUGUCGAAUACAUAGACAUGAUGAGGCGAGACGCAGGGAACUGAAACAUCUAAGUACCUGCAGGAAGAGAAAAUAAGAAUGAUUUUCUGAGUAGCGGCGAGCGAAAGGGAAAGAGCCCAAACCGAUUUGAGGAUCGGGGUAGUAGGAUCAUCGAUAAAUCAAACAGAGGAUCAUAGAGGAAUCACAUGGGAAGGUGAGCGAGAGAGGGUGAGAGCCCCGUACUCGAAAUGAGAGACUGGAGAGAGAUGACACCUGAGUAGGGCGGGACACGAGAAAUCCUGUCUGAAUCAGCCGGGACCAUCCGGCAAGGCUAAAUACGAGAGAGUGACCGAUAGUGAACCAGUACCGUGAGGGAAAGGUGAAAAGAACCCCGGGAGGGGAGUGAAAGAGAACCUGAAACCAUAUGCCUACAAGAAGUCAGAGCCCGUUAAAGGGUGAUGGCGUGCCUUUUGUAGAAUGAACCGGCGAGUUACUGUAUGGAGCGAGGUUAAGCAGGAUAUGCGGAGCCGAAGCGAAAGCGAGUCUUAAGAGGGCGCGAGUUGCAUGCAGUAGACCCGAAACCGGGUGAUCUAGCCAUGACCAGGUUGAAGUUGGGGUAAAACCCGAUGGAGGACCGAACCGACCCCCGUUGAAACGUUGGCGGAUGAGUUGUGGCUAGGGGUGAAAUUCCAAUCGAACCCGGAGAUAGCUGGUUCUCCCCGAAAUAGCUUUAGGGCUAGCGUCGAGAGAAGAGUUGCGUGAAGGUAGAGCACUGAAUAUGUGAUGGCCCCAUCUCGGGGUACUGAGCAUAAUCAAACUGCGAAUGUCACGAGAACAUGCUCGGCAGUCAGACAGCGGGUGAUAAGGUCCGUUGUCAAGAGGGAAACAGCCCAGACCAUCAGCUAAGGUCCCAAAAUGUAUGCUAAGUGGAAAAGGAUGUGGAGAUGUACAGACAACUAGGAGGUUGGCUCAGAAGCAGCCAUCCUUUAAAGAGUGCGUAACAGCUCACUAGUCGAAUGACUCUGCGCCGAUAAUUUACCGGGGCUAAGCAUACUACCGAAGCUAUGGAUCCCAAGGGAUGGUAGGGGAGCGUUCCAUGAACGGAGAAGUACGACCGAAAGGACGUGUGGAGAUCAUGGAAGAGAGAAUGCCGGUGUGAGUAGCGGAACGUGGGUGAGAAUCCCACGCACCGAAAACCCAAGGUUUCCAGAGGAAGGUUCGUCCGCUCUGGGUAAGUCGGGACCUAAGGCGAGGCCGAAAGGCGUAGUCGAUGGACAACAGGUAGAGAUUCCUGUACCCGUAUAUAUGUGAAGGAAUGACGGAGAGAGGAAGCUGCAGCCAGCGGCUGGAAGAGCUGGUGCAAGCGAGAUAUCGGGAUGGCAGGCAAAUCCACCAUCCGAAACGAGAAGGCGUGAAGCGUACGGAAAGCUACGGCGAGUACGGAAGGCAGUGGAGGAACUUCCAAGAAAAGUUUCUAACGUUAAGUAUAUAUGGCCCGUACCGAAAAUGGACACACAUGGGUGAGGAGAGAAUCCUAAGGUGAGCGAGAGAACUAUAGCUAAGGAACUCUGCAAAAUGACUCCGUAACUUAGGGAGAAGGAGUGCUCAUAGAGAUAUGAGCCGCAGUGAAACGGCCCAAGCGACUGUUUACCAAAAACACAGCUCUCUGCUAAGCCGCAAGGCGAAGUAUAGGGGGUGACGCCUGCCCGGUGCUGGAAGGUUAAGGGGAGGGGUUAACGCAAGUGAAGCCCUGAACUGAAGCCCCAGUAAACGGCGGCCGUAACUAUAACGGUCCUAAGGUAGCGAAAUUCCUUGUCAGGUAAGUUCUGACCCGCACGAAAGGCGUAACGAUUUGGGCGCUGUCUCAGCUGUAGACUCGGUGAAGUCUUAGUACCUGUGAAGAUGCAGGUUACCCGCGACUAGACGGAAAGACCCCAUGGAGCUUCACUGCAGGUUGAUAUUGGGAUUUGAUGCAGCAUGUACAGGAUAGGUAGGAGGCAAAGAGAUGGAUACGCCAGUAUUCAAGGAGCCGCUGUUGGGAUACUACCCCUGUUGUAUUGGAUUUCUAACCGGACGACGUAGAGCCGUUGACGGGACAGUGUCAGUCGGGCAGUUUGACUGGGGCGGUCGCCUCCCAAAGAGUAACGGAGGCGCCCAAAGAUACCCUCAGCUUGGAUGGAAACCAAGCGCAGAGUGCAAAGGCAAAAGGGUGUUUGACUGCGAGACCCACAAGUCGAGCAGGGACGAAAGUCGGGCUUAGUGAUCCGGCGGUGCUGAAUGGAAAGGCCGUCGCUCAACGGAUAAAAGCUACCCUGGGGAUAACAGGCUGAUCUCCCCCAAGAGU
rnacentral:rRNA from 1 species